GAGAUGUUCAAGGGCGCCAAGGCGGUCCGCCUCCGAAGCCGCCACGAGAAGUACCUCAUCGCCGACGACGACGAGGAGCACGUCUACCAGGACCGCAAUGGCUCCUCCCGCGCCGCCCGCUGGACCGUCGAGUUCGUCCCCGACGCUCCCGCCGUCCUCCGCCUCAAGUCUUGCUUCGGCCGCUACCUCACCGCCUCCAACGAGCCGUUCCUCCUCGGCGUCACCGGGCGCAAAGUCCUCCAAACCCUCCCCCGCCGCCCCGACUCGUCGGUCGAGUGGGAGCCCUUGCGCGAGGGUUUCCAGGUCAAGCUCAAAACCCGGUACGGGCACUUCCUCCGCGCCAACGGCGGGCUGCCGCCGUGGCGGAAUUCGGUUACUCAUGAUAUACCGCAUCGGACGGCGACGCAGGAUUGGGUGCUGUGGGAUGUUGAUAUUGUUGAUCUGCAGA
rnacentral:misc_RNA from 1 species